AAAUCGGUCCUUUUCAGGACCACCAAAACUUCAUAGAGAUGCAUAU
rfam:Drosophila persimilis strain MSH-3 cont1.002707, whole genome shotgun sequence.